AUUGAACGCUGGCGGCAGGCCUAAUACAUGCAAGUCGAGCGAGAGGCGGACGGGUGCGUAAGGGAUGGGGAUAUGCCCGACAGAGGGGGAUGACUACUGGAAACUGUGGCUAAUACCGCCAAAUACCGGAUGAACCCAUAUGGGAUUAGCUAGUAGGUGGGGAAAAGGCUCACCAAGACGACGAUCUCUAGCUGGUCUGAGAUGAUGAUCAGCCACACUGGGACUGAGACACGGCCCAGACUCCUACGGGAGGCAGCAGUAGGGAAUUUUGCACAAUGGGCGCAAGCCUGAUGGAGCAAUGCCGCGUGUAUGAAGAAGGCUUUCGGGUUGUAAAGUACUUUCAGCGGGGAGGCGUUACCCGCCGAAGAAGCCCCGGCUAACUACGUGCCAGCAGCCGCGGUAAUUC
rnacentral:rRNA from 1 species